rnacentral:lncRNA from 1 species
UUGGGCUGGAAUGAACUCUACUCUUUUUUUUGUUUACACAUAUUUUCUCCACCUUGCAGCUCCUUGAUGAUGAAAGGAAGACAUUUCUACCCCACCUUUAAACAAAACAUUUCAUCACAUUUAAUAACACAUUAUUAACGUCAACAAGUAAAAACAUAAUUUCGGCAGCGCAUUUUCUGUCUAUUCAGUAUGGAACAAAAGGACUGGUACAACAAGUUUGUGGGGAUGUGUUCAUAUUGCCAUUAAGUGAGUCACCACUUGUUUUCAUUGUGCAUGAAUGUAUGUACAAGUGUCAGACAUUGUUUGUCUACUCCUAUUAAAAGGAGACGUUCCCCUCGGUCUGACAUCAGUCUCAUCUAGGACCAAGCUGGUGACACAGACGUGAUCUCUUCUUCACCUGGUGAACGUGAACCUCGAAGCUAUGGAUAAGAGAGAAGUCCGCAAAACGAUCAGGGGGCUCUUUAAGAAGAAUGGCGAUGCUGAUGGAAAGAUAAAGAAGGAGGAUUUGAGGAAGCUGUUGGAAGAAGCAUUCGGAAGCCAUGAGAAGAAAGUAAGAAACUCAACACACUCCCUUUACGGGGCACAGUUACGACACAGGUCUAUUCAAAACACACCAACUUGUUCUCCUUCUUCUUCACCAUUCCGAUGCGUUUCGUGCCAUUAAGUGUAAUUAUCUGCUCUCCAGGAUGAAAUCAUUGGCAAGAUCAUGGAUGCAGCCGACAGCGACGAGGUCACCUUGAGGCAGCUGAAGAAAUCCAUGGCUAAAAGCUGCGACCAAGGCAAGGGCCAAGAACAGAGAGAUUCCUUACAUUUGCUAAAGCUUAUUUCUGUGCUGCUGCAACACAGGCAGCACGGAUUGUACUGUUAAACUUGAACUUUGACUUACCUGUUAACUUUAAUCCGACUACAUGUAAUGCACCAUGUUUGCAAAAAUCUUUGAAACAAUUGUAUUAUCCAUUCAUCCUCCGUGUAUGAGAAGCAUUUACUCAUAUUCGCUUUUAAUUAUUCAAAAUCAAUCUAAAUAUUUUUGUCCAUCUACAGGUUGUAAGGAUGAGGAAAUUGAAAAAGCCAUGCUGGACCUCUUUGAGGAGUACGAUGGAGACGAUAGCGGCGCGUUGGAGAAGGCGGAAUUCGAAAAGAUGAUCGAUGAACUACUUGAAAACCAUCCGAAAAAGGAUAAAAUCAAGAGGAGGGCCAUGAAGCGUCUCCAAAGGAGUGACAACAACAUCAGUAAAGAUGAGUUUGAGAAACUCAUGCCACUCAUAAAGAGACUCUACAAGAAAAAACUUGAGGAUCCAGAUUCUGCAGAGGAUGAAUAAACAGAAUUGUUACAGCAAAACCCUCAAGAAUGACCAUCAGAAUGAAUAACAGAAAAACCUGUUUAUUUGAGUUUGGAAAUUGUUUUUUUCAAAGAUGUGUCCAUUCAAUAUUGUCUGAGAAAAAAUAAAAGCAAUGCAAUUGACUCUGAUGUGGGCUCUUUGUCUUUUUACGCACACAACACAAAGCUGGGAAGAAAAAG